rnacentral:rRNA from 1 species
GACGAACGCUGGCGGCGUGCCUAACACAUGCAAGUCGAGCGGAAAGGCCCUUCGGGGUACUCGAGCGGCGAACGGGUGAGUAACACGUGAGUAACCUGCCCCAGACUUUGGGAUAACCCUCGGAAACGGGGGCUAAUACCGGAUACGACACAGCUUCGCAUGGGGUCUGUGUGGAAAGUUUUUCGGUUUGGGAUGGGCUCGCGGCCUAUCAGCUUGUUGGUGGGGUGAUGGCCUACCAAGGCGACGACGGGUAGCCGGCCUGAGAGGGCGACCGGCCACACUGGGACUGAGACACGGCCCAGACUCCUACGGGAGGCAGCAGCGGGGAAUAUUGCACAAUGGGCGGAAGCCUGAUGCAGCGACGCCGCGUGAGGGAUGACGGCCUUCGGGUGGUAAACCUCUUUCAGCAGGGACGAAGCGUAAGUGACGGUACCUGCAGAAGAAGCGCCGGCCAACUACGU